AAGCAUCUAACAAGAGAUUGUAGGUUACAAUAUCAGGAACCAAAUUCCUGAAACACAUAUGAUUAAAAAGAUUCAUGGCUUCAUCCAAUCUUCUAUUCUUACAACAACCACUAAUCAAGAUGUUG
rnacentral:miRNA from 1 species